GAUUUAUUGAUCUGCUCAUUUCACACUGAGAUGAAACUAUUCUGUGUCCUCUCUUGAAUUCAGUGCUGCAUGUGUAAUGGAUGUUUAUACACUGAUUCUCUUCUGUGCUUCAGCAUAUGCUGUUUCUGGAUCAGACAUCACAGCAGAUGAGGAAAACAUUUCUGCUGAGGAGGAUUCACAUGUCACAUUAUCUUGCAGUUAUUCCUCUGCAGAUUAUCUGUACUGGUACCGUCAGUAUCCCGGAUCAGCUCCUGAAUUUCUUGUACUUAUUCUUGAUGGCACAACUAAUGACAAAACGUCUGAAGUAGAUCCAAGAAUGUCUGUGAAACUCACUAAACAGGAGCAGAAACAUGUUCAUCUGGAGAUCUCCUCUGCUGCUCUAUCAGACUCUGCUCUGUAUUACUGUGCCAUGAGGCCCACAAGGGUGGAGUCAUGA